AAUGAACGUUGGCGGCGUGGAUUAGGCAUGCAAGUCGAACGGGCCGCAAGGCCAGUGGCGCAAGGGUGAGUAAGGCGACGGUAACCAACCCCAUGAUUGGGCAUAGCCGUGGGAAACCGCGGGUAAUACCCAGCGACGUCCGGGGGGGGCCUCCCCCCCGGACCAAAGUUCCGGCGUCGUGGGACGGGCUGUCUUGGUAUUAGCUGGUUGGCGGAUUAACGGCCCACCAAGGCUGUUACGCCUACCGGGCGUUCGAACGUGGCCCGGCACACUGGGACUGAGACCCUGCCCAUACUCCUACGGGAGGCUGCAGUCGAGAAUCUUCGGCCAUGGGCGCAAGCCUGACCGAGCGACUUCGCGUGUAGGACCAAGGCCUCCGGGUUGUGAACUCCUGUCGAGGGGGAAGAAGGGCCCUUAAAAGCCUUGACUGAUCCCUGGAGGAAGCACGGACUAACUUCGUGCCUUCCCCCCGGUACGACGAACCGUGCGAACGUUAUUCGGAAUCACUGUGCUUAAAGCGCGUGUAGGCGGGGUCGGGACGUCGGUCGCUGAAAUCCCCCGGUGCAACCGGCCAAGGGGCGCCUAUACGGUCGUUCUGUAGGGACUUAGGGAGAGUUUGACCCUUCCGGUGGAGUGUGUGAAAUGCGUGAGAUCAGGAAUGAACGCCCGUGUUUUUAGUUGAUCCCUGGAUGUCUACUGACUCUUAGACGUGUAUUCCAGUGAAGCGAACGGGAUUAAAGAUCCCGGUAGUCCUGGACGUUAACUAUGGGCACUGGGUAGGGGGCUUCGCCGAAGGGCUCCCUGCCUUAUGGAACCGCUCACUGCCUCUUCUGCGCACUAUUGGUCUCAUGGCUGAA
rnacentral:rRNA from 1 species